GGAUAUUGCGCAAUGGGCGAAAGCCUGACGCAGCGACGCCGCGUGGGUGAUGAAGGCCUUCGGGUCGUAAAGCCCUGUCGAGGGGGAAGAAUCGGUUGCGACCUAACACGUCGUGCUUCUGACGGUACCCCUACAGGAAGCACCGGCCAACUCCGUGCCCGCAGCCGCGGUAAUACGGAGGGUGCGAGCGUUGUUCGGAAGCACUGGGCGUAAAGCGCGUGUAGGCGGCCCAUUAAGUCUGAUGUGAAAGCCCGGGGCUCACCCCCGGAAGUGCAUUGGAAACUGAUGGGCUGGAGUCCCGGAGAGGAGGGUGGAAUUCCUGGUGUAGCGGUGAAAUGCGUAGAUAUCAGGAGGAACACCGGUGGCGAAGGCGGCCCUCUGGACGGUGACUGACGCUGAGACGCGAAAGCGUGGGGAGCAAACAGG
rnacentral:rRNA from 1 species